CAUCCCGAACACAGAAGUUAAGCCCUUCAGCGCUGAUGGUACUUGGCGGGUGACCGCCUGGGAGAGUAAGACGCUGCCGGAU
rnacentral:rRNA from 1 species